UGGGGAAUAUUGCACAAUGGGCGCAAGCCUGAUGCAGCCAUGCCGCGUGUGUGAAGAAGGCCUUCGGGUUGUAAAGCACUUUCAGCGAGGAGGAAGGUGGUGAACUUAAUACGUUCAUCAAUUGACGUUACUCGCAGAAGAAGCACCGGCUAACUCCGUGCCAGCGGCCGCGGUAAUACGGAGGGUGCAAGCGUUAAUCGGAAUUACUGGGCGUAAAGCGCACGCAGGCGGUUUGUUAAGUCAGAUGUGAAAUCCCCCGGGCUCAACCUGGGAACUGCAUUUGAAACUGGCAAGCUAGAGUCUCGUAGAGGGGGGUAGAAUUCCAGGUGUAGCGGUGAAAUGCGUAGAGAUCUGGAGGAAUACCGGUGGCGAAGGCGGCCCCCUGGACGAAGACUGACGCUCAGGUGCGAAAGCGUGGGGAGCAAACAGGAUUAGAUACCCUGGUAGUCCACGCUGUAAACGAUGUCGAUUUGGAGGUUGUGCCCCUUGAGGCGUGGNUUCCGGAGCUAACGCGUUAAAUCGACCGCCUGGGGAGUACGGCCNCAAGGUUAAAACUUAAAGGAAUUGC
rnacentral:rRNA from 1 species